CCUACGGGUGGCAGCAGUGAGGAAUAUUGGUCAAUGGGCGCGAGCCUGAACCAGCCAAGUCGCGUGAAGGAAGACUGUCCUACGGAUUGUAAACCUCUUUUAUCGAGGAGUAAAAGACGCCACGCGUGCCGUUCCGAGUGUACCCGAAGAAAAAGCAUCGGCUAACUCCGUGCCAGCAGCCGCGGUAAUACGGAGGAUGCGAGCGUUAUCCGGAUUUAUUGGGUUUAAAGGGUGCGUAGGCGGGCGGAUAAGUUAGAGGUGAAAUCCCGAGGCUCAACUGCGGAAUUGCAUUUGAUACUGGUCGGCUUGAGAGUAGUUGCGGUAGGCGGAAUGUAUGGUGUAGCGGUGAAAUGCUUAGAGAUCAUACAGAACACCGAUUGCGAAGGCAGCUUACCAAGCUACUUCUGACGUUGAGGCACGAAAGCGUGGGGAGCAAACAGGAUUAGAUACCCCAGUAGUC
rnacentral:rRNA from 1 species